rnacentral:rRNA from 1 species
ACGCACGCUGGCGGCGUGCUUCACCCAUGCCGGUCGCACGGUGAAGGGAUCAGCUUGCUGGUUCUGGAUGAGUGGCGAACGGGUGAGUAACACGUGAGUAACCUGCCCCCUUCUUCUGGAUAACCGCAUGAAAGUGUGGCUAAUACGGGAUAUUCUGCGCCUGCUGCAUGGUGGGUGUGGGAAAGAUAUUGUUUCGGUGGGGGAUGGGCUCGCGGCCUAUCAGCUUGUUGGUGGGGUGAUGGCCUACCAAGGCGGUGACGGGUAGCCGGCCUGAGAGGGUGGACGGUCACACUGGGACUGAGACGCGGCCCAGGCUCCUACGGGAGGCAGCAGUGGGGAAUAUUGCACAAUGGGCGCAAGCCUGAUGCAGCGACGCCGCGUGAGGGAUGGAGGCCUUCGGGUUGUGAACCUCUUUCGCCAGUGAAGCAGGCCUGUCCCUUGUGGGUGGGUUGACGGUAGCUGGAUAAGAAGCGCCGGCUAACUACGUG